rnacentral:rRNA from 1 species
CCUACGGGUGGCAGCAGUGAGGAAUAUUGGUCAAUGGGAGAGAUCCUGAACCAGCCAAGCCGCGUGAGGGCAGACGGCCCUAUGGGUUGUAAACCUCUUUUGUCGGAGAAUAAAACCCGGGACGUGUCCCGGACUGCGUGUAUCCGAUGAAAAAGAAUCGGCUAACUCCGUGCGAGCAGCCGCGGUAAUACGGAGGAUGCGAGCGUUAUCCGGAUUUAUUGGGGUUAAAGGGUGCGAAGUCGGUCCGUUAUGUCAGCGGGAAAAUUGCGGGGCUCAACCCCGUCGAGCCGUUGAAACUGGAAGACUUGAGUGGGCGAGAAGUACGCGGAAUGCGCGGUGUAGCGGUGAAAUGCAUAGAUAUCGCGCAGAACUCCGAUUGCGAAGGCAGCGGACCGGCGCCAGACUGACGCUGAGGCACGAAAGCGUGGGGAUCGAACAGGAUUAGAUACCCUAGUAGUC